AACAGGACUGAAUAGUUUCAUUUCUCCCAAAAUAGCAAUUGCCAGUCCAUGCUUCAGUGCUCUGCGAGUGUUUAUAGCCCUGUGACUUUAACACUUCAUGACUGAGAGCUGCUGCUCAGCAACUUCACCCACAGCAACCAUGACUUUGAUCAGCGUCUUCAUCUGCACACUGGCCCUCUGGACUCAAGGAUCCAGAGGUCAGGUGACUGUGACUCAGACUCCUUCAGUGCAAACUGUUGUUCCAGGAAAAACAGUCACCUUCAACUGUAGAACCAGUAGCAGUGUGUAUAAUGGUAACGUUCUCGCCUGGUACCUGCAGAAACCUGGAGAAGCUCCUAAACUCCUGAUCUACUGGGCUACUAGCUUACAGUCAGGAACUCCAGCUCGUUUCAGUGGCAGUGGAUCUAAUACUGACUUCACUCUGACCAUAAGAGGAGUCCAGACUGAAGAUGCAGGAGAUUACUACUGUCAGAGUUACCAUAGUGGUUAUGCGUUCACACAGUGUUAGAGCGCCGUACAAAAACCUCGGUCAGUGAGAGUGCACAGAGAAGCGCUGCUGCAGCUGGGAACGACUGCAGGUGCUGAGGGGGAGGAUGUGAUACAGCACAAUGACACACACUGUGGACGAGAGAAAACACACCACACUAACUCACUAAUGCGCACACACAUCUGUGAGAGGAGUCCACCUUUCUCAGCUGUGGACAUACAAACUAUUCCUCAUCAUUCUCAUUCACUGCUUAGUAAUUAUCUUUAUCCUGAUUUAGAAAGUUACAGAAGUAUUUAUUAUAUUUAUAUUUUGUUGCAUUUAUGAUUUACCAAAAGAGUUCUUUAUGUUUAAUAUCAAACACUAUUAUAGAUUUAAUAUUUUAUUAUAUAAUUUUAAUGUUCAUUAAAUAGAGCUUCUUUAUAGAGUUGAGUCUGACAUUUAACUGAAUAUUUCUUUAAUUAAUAACGAUUAAUUAAUAAUUAUUAACCAUCAGAUAAUGAUUAAUUCAGUGUAGCAUUCACUAGUCAGCAUAAACUAGAGAAUUAUUUAAAAGCAUGACAAAAUAGAUUUAUAAAUUGAUAUUAUAAAUAAACUUUACAUUUCUAUAAGCUGUAAAAUGUAAUAAAUAAGCAUGCAAAUAUUUUUGCCCCUUUUAUCCUCCAUAUUUAAUCAGGGACAUGAUCAGACUUACUGGGAUCAUCAAAGUUCUCUGCAAACACAAUAAGUCUUGCACAGCAGCUUGGUACAGUAAGACAUUUUGAAAACAC